rnacentral:rRNA from 1 species
AGAGUUUGAUCCUGGCUCAGGAUGAACGCUAGCGACAGGCUUAACACAUGCAAGUCGAGGGGCAGCGGAGGCGAGUGCUUGCACUUGCCAGACGGCGACCGGCGCACGGGUGAGUAACACGUAUGCGACCUGCCCGUAGCAGGGGGAUAAGCGGAAGAAAUUCCGUCUAAUACCGCGUAAUAUCUUUCGGGGGCAUCCCUGAGGGAUUAAAGGAAGCGAUUCCGGCUACGGAUGGGCAUGCGGCGCAUUAGCUAGUCGGCGGGGUAACGGCCCACCGAGGCGACGAUGCGUAGGGGUUCUGAGAGGAAGGUCCCCCACACUGGUACUGAGACACGGACCAGACUCCUACGGGAGGCAGCAGUGAGGAAUAUUGGUCAAUGGGCGAGAGCCUGAACCAGCCAAGUCGCGUGAGGGAAGACGGUCCUAUGGAUUGUAAACCUCUUUUGUCGGGGAGCAAAAAGGCCUCGUGAGGCCACAAGCGAGAGUACCCGAAGAAAAAGCAUCGGCUAACUCCGUGCCAGCAGCCGCGGUAAUACGGAGGAUGCGAGCGUUAUCCGGAUUUAUUGGGUUUAAAGGGUGCGUAGGCGGACUGGAAAGUCAGCGGUAAAAUCGAGAGGCUCAACCUCUUUCCGCCGUUGAAACUGUCGGUCUUGAGUGGGCGAGAAGUAUGCGGAAUGCGUGGUGUAGCGGUGAAAUGCAUAGAUAUCACGCAGAACUCCGAUUGCGAAGGCAGCAUACCGGCGCCCAACUGACGCUGAGGCACGAAAGCGUGGGUAUCGAACAGGAUUAGAUACCCUGGUAGUCACGCAGUAAACGAUGAAUACUAAUUGUCCGGUCAGAAUGAUGACUGGGUGAUACAGCGAAAGCGUUAAGUAUUCCACCUGGGGAGUACGCCGGCAACGGUGAAACUCAAAGGAAUUGACGGGGGCCCGCACAAGCGGAGGAACAUGUGGUUUAAUUCGAUGAUACGCGAGGAACCUUACCCGGGCUCAAACGACACAGGAACGUACCUGAAAGGGUUCGGCUCUACGGAGCCUGUGUCGAGGUGCUGCAUGGUUGUCGUCAGCUCGUGCCGUGAGGUGUCGGCUUAAGUGCCAUAACGAGCGCAACCCCCAUCGACAGUUGCUAACAGGUCAGGCUGAGGACUCUGUCGAGACUGCCGGCGCAAGCUGCGAGGAAGGCGGGGAUGACGUCAAAUCAGCACGGCCCUUACGUCCGGGGCGACACACGUGUUACAAUGGCAGGUACAGCGGGAAGCCACCUGGCGACAGGGAGCGGAACCCGAAAGCCUGUCUCAGUUCGGAUUGGAGUCUGCAACCCGACUCCAUGAAGCUGGAUUCGCUAGUAAUCGCGCAUCAGCCACGGCGCGGUGAAUACGUUCCCGGGCCUUGCACACAACGCCCGUCA